rnacentral:rRNA from 1 species
AGAGUUUGAUUAUGGCUCAGGAUGAACGCUAGCUACAGGCUUAACACAUGCAAGUCGAGGGGCAGCAUUGGAGUAGCAAUACUUCAGAUGGCGACCGGCGCACGGGUGAGUAACACGUAUCCAACCUGCCGCUUACUCGGGGAUAGCCUUUCGAAAGAAAGAUUAAUACCCGAUGGUAUAAAGAGUUCGCAUGUUCUCUUUAUUAAAGAAUUUCGGUAAGCGAUGGGGAUGCGUUCCAUUAGAUAGUUGGCGGGGUAACGGCCCACCAAGUCUACGAUGGAUAGGGGUUCUGAGAGGAAGGUCCCCCGCAUUGGAACUGAGACACGGUCCAAACUCCUACGGGAGGCAGCAGUGAGGAAUAUUGGUCAAUGGACGAGAGUCUGAACCAGCCAAAGUAGCGUGAAGGAUGACUGCCCUAUGGGUUGUAAACUUCUUUUAUAAGGGAAUAAAGUGAGGGACGUGUCCCUUUUUGUAUGUACCUUAUGAAUAAGGAUCGGCUAACUCCGUGCCAGCCGCCGC